rnacentral:rRNA from 1 species
AGCGAACGCUGGCGGCAGGCCUAACACAUGCAAGUCGAACGGACCCUUCGGGGUUAGUGGCGGACGGGUGAGUAACACGUGGGAACGUGCCUUUAGGUUCGGAAUAGCUCCUGGAAACGGGUGGUAAUGCCGAAUGUGCCCUUCGGGGGAAAGCUUUAUCGCCUUUAGAGCGGCCCGCGUCUGAUUAGCUAGUUGGUGAGGUAAUGGCUCACCAAGGCGACGAUCAGUAGCUGGUCUGAGAGGAUGACCAGCCACAUUGGGACUGAGACACGGCCCAAACUCCUACGGGAGGCAGCAGUGGGGAAUCUUGCGCAAUGGGCGAAAGCCUGACGCAGCCAUGCCGCGUGGAUGAUGUAGGUCUUAGGAUUGUAAAAUCCUUUCACCGGUGAAGAUAAUGACUGUAGCCGGAGAAGAAGCCCCGGCUAACUUCGUGCCAGCAGCCGCGGUAAAAC